AGAGUUUGAUCCUGGCUCAGAACGAACGCUGGCGGCAGGCUUAACACAUGCAAGUCGAGCGCCCCGCAAGGGGAGCGGCAGACGGGUGAGUAACGCGUGGGAACAUACCCUCCGGUUCGGAAUAGCUCAGGGAAACUUGGAUUAAUACCGGAUACGGCCUAGCGGCGAAAGAUUCAUCGCCGGAGGAUUGGCCCGCGUCUGAUUAGCUAGUUGGUGGGGUAAUGGCCCACCAAGGCGACGAUCAGUAGCUGGUCUGAGAGGAUGAUCAGCCACAUUGGGACUGAGACACGGCCCAAACUCCUACGGGAGGCAGCAGUGGGGAAUAUUGGACAAUGGGCGCAAGCCUGAUCCAGCCAUGCCGCGUGAGUGAUGACGGCCUUAGGGUUGUAAAGCUCUUUCGCUAGG
rnacentral:rRNA from 1 species